rnacentral:misc_RNA from 1 species
UGGAGGAACAGGCUGCAAGCGAUCAAGAUACAUUAGUGGCUGAUGAGGAGGGAGCUUAUCCUGAUCAUCCAGAGUCACCUUCACAAGCACCUGAAAAUAUAACUGGUGAGCGGGAUGUCUCAUCCAGUGCAGUAACCGAGUAUAAUGAAUCCAAGCAGGAUCCUGCACUGCUUUCUGGGGCACAGCAAUACUCGGCUGUACACACUCCAAGCUACAGUUUUGGUUUUAUGCCUCCAAUGCUGAGUAGUCAGAUUGCACC